rnacentral:tRNA from 2 species
GUAAAUAUAGUUUAAUAAAAACAUCAGAUUGUGAAUCUGACAAUAGAAAUGAAACUCUUCUUAUUUACC